CAGUAGCCACGGGAAUACGUAGGGUGCAAGCGUUAAUCGGAAUUACUGGGCGUAAAGCGUGCGCAGGCGGUUUGUUAAGACAGAUGUGAAAUCCCCGGGCUCAACCUGGGAACUGCAUUUGUGACUGGCAGGCUAGAGUAUGGCAGAGGGGGGUGGAAUUCCGCGUGUAGCAGUGAAAUGCGUAGAUAUGCGGAGGAACACCGAUGGCGAAGGCAGCCCCCUGGGCCAAUACUGACGCUCAUGCACGAAAGCGUGGGGAGCAAACAGGAUUAGAUACCCCCGUAGUCCCUGUCUCUUAUAC
rnacentral:rRNA from 1 species